CUACGGGAUGCUGCAGUGGGGAAUAUUGCACAAUGGGCGCAAGCCUGAUGCAGCAACGCCGCGUGAGGGAUGAAGGCCUUCGGGUUGUAAACCUCUUUUAGCAGGGAAGAAGCGAAAGUGACGGUACCUGCAGAAAAAGCACCGGCUAACUACGUGCCAGCAGCCGCGGUAAUACGUAGGGUGCAAGCGUUGUCCGGAAUUAUUGGGCGUAAAGAGCUCGUAGGCGGUUUGUCACGUCUGCUGUGAAAAUGCAAGGCUCAACCUUGGACUUGCAGUGGGUACGGGCAGGCUAGAGUGCGGUAGGGGAGAUGGGAAUUCCUGGUGUAGCGGUGGAAUGCGCAGAUAUCAGGAGGAACACCAAUGGCGAAGGCACAUCUCUGGGCCGUAACUGACGCUGAGGAGCGAAAGCGUGGGGAGCGAACAGGAUUAGAUACCCUCGUAGUC
rnacentral:rRNA from 1 species